GUGAGUUUGCAAGGGAAAUCACAUUGCUUGGGUCACUGACAACUUGUGUGGCCAGAGCCCCAGGGGCAGUACUCCCUGGCUGGCUGGGUAACAAGUGCAUCCAUUUCCAGUGUUGGUAGUGUGGCACUCAGCCACUUGGCAAAAAGAUGGAUCAAAUCAUAACACAGCCAAGAAAAGCCUGGGAGGGAGACACAGUCCAACUCUGUCAGGCCAGGCUGCGGCUGCUUAACAGUAAAAGGAAAAAACUUAGUUGGGUUUUAAUUUGGAAUUCUGUAGUGUGAGGUCUGGGUAUGGAUAGAUGGCAGUGGAUUCCACGGUCACUAUGAGUUAGGUUGCCAUAGUUACUCCUCCAUUAGAUCUCCUUCCCAGCAACUAAACAGACACCAUUCCAGUGCCAAAUAGUCACCACCACAGGUAUAAGGGAAGGGCAGGGCAGACUGAAGAGCAUGAAUAGAAGUUUCAAAAGGCAUGUUGCUCCACCUCUCCCUAAAAGCACAUUUCUUUCUCAUUUUCUUUCUAGUACUCCACAUACUGUGGUUUCCCAUCUGCCUCUAAGUAGAGGCAGAUCAGUCUCUUCUAUUCUAUGACACUUCCUUCCACCAGCUCUUCACCUAGAGUCUGUGUGGCACAGCAGCAAAGUGGUGAAUCAAACCUGACCAAGGACAGUCUUCCACCACCAAGAUGAGCUAGAAAGACCCAACCCACAGUGUUCCAGCCAGCAACCAGCCAUUUCUGCCACAUUUCUACCUCACUCCACUCCAUAGGACAUGGAGAGGUGGCUCCAUACCCAAGCUUCCUUUGAGGAGUGGGCCUAUUUCCCUUUUUCCCUCUCAAGGGCAAGGCACCAUUCCCUCAUCCUUGAGAGGAGAGCAGGUCUGAGUGAUGGCGAAUGUCUUCUCACCUAGAAACAGGUGUGCUUUUAGCAAACUGCACAGCACAGGAUUGUCGUGGUAAAUGAAGAGCAGAAUCGUGGGAAUAAGCUCCCUGACAAGAGGAAGGAGCAGCCCCAUACUCAACAUGUACAGUCUGCAGGCCCUAAUUUCUCCCCUGCUUUGGGCUCUGUGUGCCAGGAUGAGAUGCAUCAGGAGAGGUACCAUUUUGCUAAAUCUUGAAGCUGACACAUUUAAUAACCACAAGCAUUGCUACCCUGUCAGAGAGCAUUAGUUGAGAUACAGGGACUGCUUCCUCCCUGAUCCCUAGCCCCAGUCCCUACUGUCCCUUCUUGUCUCCCCAGCCCAGCCUGGCUACUGUUCCCAGCACUAACAUUAUCAAUUACCUCAGGUUUUCUCCAACUCCUCCUUCAAAAAACAUGUCAUUGACAUCUUUCAUUAGCUCCUUCCCAAGGAUUUCUGUCUCUUGAGGAAAGUAUUUCUCUACACCAAGCACACAAACCCACAUCCAGAUGCAUAUCUAGUAAAGGACAAAUGGGAAAUCUUACCUUGUUCUGCCUCCAGGAAGCAUAUAUGAAGCAGGGAUAGCAAAGGAUAAAGUUAGAAACACAGACUCUCGUAUUCUUUCUUGGUUGCAGGGGUCAAUGGAAUCUGCUGCCAAGAUCUGAUUUUGUGACACAGUGCAAAUUUCUUAUCAAAGCCAUUCCUGCCAUCCCUCCACAAAUUUGGGCUACCAAGCAAUCCAAAAGCAGGAUGGUUGCAUCUUCUCUGCAGGGGGUGAAUAGAGUCGCAGUUUCAGGGGAUAUUAUCCUCACUGGUCAGUUUUGAGAUCGGAGUUUUGUCUGUGGGGUGAGAGAUGUCUGGUUACAAAAAAUGUGAAGAGUGCAAGCAGAUGACACAAGA